rnacentral:pre_miRNA from 1 species
UUAUCAUCAUCGUGAUCAUGAUCAUGAUCAUUAUGAUCGUGAUCAUGAUCAUGAUCAUGAUCAUGAUCGUCAUCAUUGUGAUCGUGAUCAUUAUUU